UUUGUGUGACCCGUCAACGCAUGCCCUUGGACGUGCACACAGCACACUGAGGAAAAUAUCCGGUGUUUGGAACCCUGCUUCUGGUCCUCAUGGUGCGCUGGAUCUUCUUAUAAGUACGCCAUUGGCAUUGCUUCCAAGCACAGCGAAAACACAAGCACGUCCUUCCUUCAAAAAUGGCCCUCGUCAAGAACGUGGUCUCGUUCCUGUGCGUGAUCGUGGCGUCGCUCGCGUUCGCCGUGCAGGCCGUGCUCGCCGCCAGAGGCCUCGCCCCAGCCACCGGUGCUUUAAGCAGCAUGAAUUACACGGUUGAUCCGCCUAAUCCCCCUUGUGUAAUUGGUGUUACUUACUGUUCGAGCGGCCCACCCGCACAUUAGUAUCCGUGAAGAUAUAGGCGGCCUGGGAACCACACUUGGAGGCAGGUUGGAGCUUGGAGAUCGAUACAAGUACUGUCCAAGCAUGAAUAAAUUAGCUACUGAACACUAGUCUUUGUUGUUGAUACAAGCAUAGCGAUGUGAGACUAUCUAUCGUUGUGUUUCCCUUUUUGAAUAAACGCCAGACAGCGCCACGUGAUUAUCUAUAAUACCAGGAGAAGAAAAGCCAUGCCGUGUUUACGCGGUACAUUUCUCUUUCUCUGUGUGUUGGUGUUGUAUCUCGCAACAAGUAAUAUGUGUUUUAAGUGUCUCCA